GACAGAGGGUGCAAACGUUGCUCGGAAUUACUGGGCGUAAAGCGCGUGUAGGCGGAUCGGAAAGUCGGGCGUGAAAUCCCCAGACUCAACCUGGGAACUGCACCCGAAACUCCCGGUCCGUGAGUGGUGGAGAGGGAAGUGGAAUUCCUGGUAUAGAGGUGAAAUUCGUAGAUAUCAGGAGGAACACCAGUGGCGAAGGCGGCUUCCUGGACACCAACUGACGCUGAGACGCGAAAGCGUGGGGAGCAAACAGG
rnacentral:rRNA from 1 species